UGGGGAAUUUUGGACAAUGGGCGAAAGCCUGAUCCAGCAAUGCCGCGUGUGUGAAGAAGGCCUUCGGGUUGUAAAGCACUUUUGUCCGGAAAGAAAUCCUUGGCUCUAAUACAGUCGGGGGAUGACGGUACCGGAAGAAUAAGCACCGGCUAACUACGUGCCAGCAGCCGCGGUAAUACGUAGGGUGCAAGCGUUAAUCGGAAUUACUGGGCGUAAAGCGUGCGCAGGCGGUUUGCUAAGACCGAUGUGAAAUCCCCGGGCUCAACCUGGGAACUGCAUUGGUGACUGGCAGGCUAGAGUAUGGCAGAGGGGGGUUAGAAUUCCACGUGUAGCAGUGAAAUGCGUAGAGAUGUGGAGGAAUACCGAUGGCGAAGGCAGCCCCCUGGGCCAAUACUGACGCUCAUGCACGAAAGCGUGGGGAGCAAACAGGAUUAGAUACCCUGGUAGUCCACGCCCUAAACGAUGUCAACUAGUUGUUGGGGAUUCAUUUCCUUAGUAACGUAGCUAGCGCGUGAAGUUGACCGCCUGGGGAGUACGGUCGC
rnacentral:rRNA from 1 species